GGCGCUAUAGCCAAGUGGUUACGGCGACAGAUUAGAAUUGAAUCGGGCUUAAUCGAAUCGAGUCGAUCUGUUCCUCUAUGAGGGCGCAGGUUCGAGUCCUGCUGGCGUCG